UCUCAGGACUACUGAAUUUCAUAGACGGGCUAUGGUCGAGCUGUGGAGACGAGAGGAUUAUAAUCUUCACAACCAAUCACAAGGAUAGACUUGAUCCAGCAUUGUUGCGUCCAGGACGGAUGGACAUGCACAUUCACAUGUCUUAUCUUACGAUGAAUGGUUUCAAAACAUUAGCCUCCACCUAUCUGGAAAUCAAUCACCAGCACUGGCGUUUCAGGGAGAUAGAACAGCUAUUAGGCAGCGUUGAAGCAACGCCUGCUGAAGUUGCUGAGGAACUAAUGAGGACAUGUGAUGCUGAUGCUUGUCUUGGAGGACUUGUCAAUUUCCUCAAGGAUAAGAAGAGGAAAAGGACUAUUGUUGAAUCCGGGGAGGAUGCGAAUCCUGGAGCUGAAACCACGGAUGGGGAUGACACUACUCCUGGAGUUGAACUCAUCCCAAAAGCCAAGAAAAUUAAAACUAAUGGCUUGCAGGAUGUUUUUUGUCACAAGUGAGGGGCUAUAAUGGUCGCAGAUAUUAAAUCUUCUGAUUUUGUUAUUCGCGUAAGUUCUAUUUAAUGUUUUGAAUAAUUUUAUUAAAUCUCAGACUAUUUUCUCACAGUCUUCUUCAACAUUGUACUUAAAAAGUAAGCAACUAGACAAUGUUGAAUUGAUCGAUGUAUAAUAAUUCAAAACGUCAACUUUAAAUUCGAUCUUUCUGAUCUCGGCUAUACAAUUCUUGAAAAUAGUGAACUCUGUAUCGAUGGUUUCCUUGUGUAUUGAAAAUGUUCUGUUCACUUCCACCCUUUAUGUUUCAAGGCUAAUCUGGAUGUUAGUAGAAAGUGAUGAUCUAUGAGGAGUUAAUCAGGACUACAGAGGUGACUCCAGCUGAAGUGGCUGAACAGCUGCUAAAGAGCGAUGAACCUGAUGUAUCACUUACUGGAUUAAUCAGUUUUCUUCAUACAAAGAGAAAGGAAAACGAAGAGGCCAAGGCCAAGAAAGAAGCAGAGGAGGUGGCUGCAUCAGUUGCGGAGGCAAUGGGAGAUGGUGAAAAAGGCGAUCAGAGUCAAGAAUCUGACAAAAUUCAGAAAUAACAAGUCUAGCCCAUUUGCUGUUUUUUAGUUGUUCAUCAAGCAUAAUCUUUAUUUUGACUCGAAUAUCUACGGCAUACACUCAGACAUGGAUAUGAACAUUCUGACUUUUAUUUCAGACUAAAAACAUAUAAUAUUUUCAGAACCAGUGUAAUAUAAAUUGAGCUACAGUUGUUCAAAUUCGUAACCAGAUCAAUAUAACAGGAUCAUCAAUUCAACAUACAUGUUCUUGAUCUGUAUCUAUAAGCUUUUUACCAUGUUCAAAACACAGCACUUAACCAAGGAACAUAAAAACACUGAUGAAGGAGGACUUGAGAACAAAUCAAAUAUCCCCAUAUAAUUUGGAGCACUGCUAAAAUCUAACUUUUUCUUGAAUAUGUGCAUAAAAAAUUGGCACACAUGGGAAAUUGUCAGUAUUCCAUUUCCGUUUCACAUCUCUUUUUUUUUUUUUGCCUUUUGUGUUUUUUAAAGCUAACGUCGCUAUAAUUCAGUUUUGUGCUACUAAUGCAAACACUGGGGAAUAACUUUUGCUCCAUCACGAUGAUGCAGAAACCUUUCUUAUUAGCUAGGCAAUCAAAACUUCUCACAUGUGUGUAAAAAAAUAAAGAGAUUACGAGCAAAAAAAUGAACUGAAUCACCAAAUACACCAGAUGUUAGAUUUUCUUAAAAUAUUAAUUCUUUCAAAUAUGAAUCAGCACUUAAAAUGGAAUGAGUGACCAAUAAAACAGACCUUACAAGAAAUAUUUCUUAAGCAUGAAUAGGUCUUAGCCACGUAGGGACUUCAGAAGUCGUUUAGUUUAACCUAAAAAAGAUAUUUAUCCUAUCCUAUAUUCGGUUCCCAAAUCCUCAUAUAUACUAUAGAAAAUUAUAUAUUAAUAUUACAUAAUUGUUGAAAAUAAUAUUAUUUUAUAUGAGUCCACCCUUAAAUUUAUAUAUGACUAAUGAAUAUUUUCAAUUUUGGAUCAAUUAGAUAGAUCUUUUUUUAAAUUAUGCGAGUCUUGACACCCUACAGACUAGAACGAGUUUUUUUACGGAUUUUAAUACUUCAAUAAAGUAUAGUUCUGUAACUUAUUUUUAGGAUAUUCUUUUUUGUAUAAAAAUAUGACAAAAUAUGACACAUUCAUAUUUUUAUACAAAAAAAGAAACUUUUAAAAAUAAAUUAUAGAACUAUAUUUCAUAAGAGCCUUGAAACGUGUGCCGCACGGUGAAAAAGAAGUGUAUACAAUCGAAUGGGACGGAGAGAGAAUGAUAUUUGAUUGAAAAGAAAAUAUGGUUAUUUCGUUUAAUAUAAUACGAGGCACAUUUACUGUUAAUCAAAUUAGAGUAUUUAAGAAAUAAUAUUAUUUUUAAAAAAUAUUAUACCUAAAUUAUGUAAUAAAAUUUUAUGAAUAAUAUCAAAAUAUUAUAUACUUGAAUUUAUAAAUAUAAAAAAUUAUUUUUAUUUUAUAAAAAUAAUCAUUCGGUGCGUAGCACGGGUAAAACACUAGUUAUAUUAUAAUACCCGAGUCUACCACACUCCAGAUAACCAAUAAGAAAAAAAAAUUAUUUUAGAGUCAAUAAGAAAUUAAUCCCAAAAUUUAGCUCGCUAUGUUUAGUGAUAACCAAUAAAAAAAGAGGAAUUAUUUUAAAGUCAAUAAUAAAUUGAUCCUAAAAUUUAGACCAAUCAAAUUAUAACACUCUUUUAAUUAAUUAACUUGAGUUUCAACCAUGAUUAAGUUUUAAUUUUUAAUAAUAAAAGACCAAUCUAAAAUUUAGACCACUUAAAAUUUAGACUAAUCAAAUUAUAAUAUCCUUUCUGUUAAUUAUCUAAAAUUUCAAUCAUAAUUAAUAUUUAAAUUACACCAGUGAGACGAUAUUAACAAAACAAUAGUAAUUAACUACAAUGCACAUCAAAUACUGUUCUGAGUUAUGAACUCAUAUUUUUACGGCAUGCUCUAUUGAAUUUAAUAAUUUAUAUUAUUUCAUAAUUUAUUCAAUUCAAAUUAUAUAAAUUAUAUAAAUACCUAAUAAUUUUCAUGAAAUAUGUAAAUUUAUGUUUUUUCCUAAAGAAGUAGCUUACUAGGACUAAAGCACGUGCAAGGCACAAGCUUCUAUCCUAAACUCAUAUUUUUCAUAUAUAAAGCCCGCCCUGAAAGCAAAGUUGAAAAACUUAUUGUUAUUUGUGAUAUGAAAAGGAAUCGUAACGAUUAAAAAUUUGAACACUUAUUCUGGGUUUUUAUUAUACAAUCAAUUGUAUGAAAUUAAACGUGAGUGUAAAACACCAACCCUAUGCCAUUUGUACAUGUUUCUCAUUUCAAACAUGUAUUAGUUUGGUAAUGUGGGUACUGAGACAAAGUGACGACGGUAAAAUGAUCCCGGUGAUCCCGGGUACCCUUUUGCUCAAGUAUCGGAUUAUAUUAUUUUUAGUUUGUCUAGAUUUGGGUCCGGGAUCGUUUUAUUCGGAUAUAGACCAAUCUCGGGUAUUUGAGAUUCGGAUCUGAACCGGAUAUGAUCCAGUAUCGUAUUUUCUAUUUUUUAACCGGGUAGUUUAUGAUCCAUCGAAUAUGAGCCGGAUAUGAUCCACUAACACUAAAUAUCAUUAUUAUUUCAAUUGUUCAAAAAAUUAUCAUUUAGUCUAAGUAAACAUAAUAUUAUAAAGUUUAAUAAUUUUAUAUUAAAACAUAUAGUUAUAUGUUGGUAUAUAUCAUUUAUUAAAUAUAUACGAAGAUAAUAAGUAUGAUCACAUUAAAUAAAUCAUAUUCUAUGAAGAUAUAAACUUAAAUAAGAUAUUAAAAAUUUUAUAAAAUGAUGGCAUUUUUUUUUGUCAGGUAAAAUGUUGACUAUUUACUUGCAAAUAUGAUGAUGUUAAAAUAUAAUAUGUAUAUGAGUUUGAAUCGAAUAUGAACUGUGGAUCAUAUUCGGUUAUUCGGGUAGGACCAUAUUAUGAAAAAUUAUAUGAGACCGAAUCUGAGCGGGUAUAAGUGUGCUCGUAUCCGGGAUCAUAUAUUAUACGGGCUUAAUUUUUCCGCUAGAUUUGGAUCAUUUUCAAAACGGAUAUGAGUGUAUCAUAUUUUCGAGCCGAAUAUGAGUCGAGACACCGGAUAGUCCGAAUCGAUUUACAGCCCUAUAUGUGAAAAAUAGUUUGAUGCCGAAGAAAAAAAAAUAUUAAUAUCGUUUUAUCAUGUGUAAUUUAAGGGAGGUUUGUAAAUAGUAAAGAACUUGUGAUGAGGAGGUGGACAGUCACACUACUAGGAGUGGAUAUCGUCUGAAUGUUCAUCGUGAGUAUUUUUUGUAGAACGUAGAAAAUGGAGUUUAACAACAAUUUCAAGCUCUCGAAGAACGAGUGAGGUACCGUUUCUAUAACUAAUACAUAUUUUUAUAAAAAAUCUUAUUCUGCUUAAUGAAACUACCAUGCCUUCAAUUCUAUUUCUUGAAGAUAUGUCUAUGUUCGUCUGUUCUCGUGAUGGUAAUCCAUAUAUGCGUUUUCAAUGAUGAAUUUUCAGGAUUAAUGUUAUUUAUGGUUCAUUUAUCUUCAAGCACUACCUCGAUAUUCCUAGUACAAUUGAACUUGGUUCACAAUUCAUUUUGGAUUAUUAUUCAAAAUUUAAUGAAGUUAUUUCAAUGGUAUUGUGAGGAAACACAUGCACCUCAUUACUGCAAAUUUCAUCUACAAAAAUAAAUGACUUAUGGCCUCAUAUUCAGCAAUCAAAGUAACUUAAGCACAAUUGUGUGCUCAAGUAAAAGCUAUUGCAACAUUAUCUGUGAUGUCUAGUGUAUGCCCAUGUGCCCAUGCUAUGCGCGGAAAUUGUUAUGUUUGGGAGAUUUUGAUUGAUGUGGUUGUUGCAUUUGCAAGGGAUCCAUCGUUAUUAAGAUAAGAGAGCCAAUCAAAUUCUUUCAAACUUGUAAAAUCCCGCGCUUAGGCACACAUUAGAAAAACCGAAUGAGAAUACAUCUCUUAAUUGUUUCAUUUGCAUAUCGUUUUAUGCAAAAGACCAUUUACAUCUAACAACAUUCAUACCGGGAGUUGCCGACACCAAUGACCCUGUUCCAUUCCUUAUCAAUAUGAUAAAUGUGAAAAUCAAGAAUUUUAUUAUUAUUUUAUUUUUAUAAUAUUUAAAUUUUAUGCAAUCACGUGAAAAUUAUGAAAUUAUGUGACUUAGUUGCUAAAUGUAUAUUUAUUUUUUUGAAACAAAGGUGUUAAUCUAAUAAUAAAAAGCCAUACGUCAUCUACACCAAUGAUCGAGUCGAACAAACAGUGAUUUGCAAUCGCCUGUUCUCGUAAAAAGACAGUUAAGCGAUUUUUUGAAGAAAAUGUAUAUACAAAUACAAGUACCCGCUUCAUGCAUCCUCGUUGAAUUACUGGUGCCCUCUUCAUCAUGCCCUGACAGAGCUAUCGACCAAAACGGCGAUUCCAUACAAACUCUCAUCACCAAAUCAAAACCCCACUUACAAUUAAGAACCGAAAACCAAAACUCUCACCAGGGAGAGAAAACAACCUUAGAUCUGAAGCAAAACCACAAAAACAAGAGAAAUCGGACUGAAAAUCCACCCGCUUGAAACAGAGAAAAAAGACAACAAAACCCCACUUACAAUUAAGAACCGAAAACCAAAACUCUCACCAGGGAGAGAAAACAACCUUAGAUCUGAAGCGAAACCACAAAAACAAGAGAAAGCGGACUGAAAAUCCACCCGCUUGAAACAGAGAAGAAAGACAACGAAAUCCCCAAUAGUUUUAGAUCUAAGAAUUCUCCCGAGAACAGAUCCGGAGCAGAACCACAAAAACAAGAGAAAUCAGGCUAAAAUUCACCCGCUUGGAAGAGAGACAGCUAAAUCUCCGAUGGUUUUAGAUCAAAGUUCCUGAGAAGAUGUAUUAUUCAAAAAUUAGGAAGAAAAACAGAACAAUCAAAUGAUUCGGGGUUUUCCACCGGUGAAAGCCGAUGGAAGCCCCGGGCGGCUACGACAAGAGAGAGGUUAGACCAGAGAGAAUUAGGGUUAGGAGAGAUUAACACCUCUCCUAAAUGUAUUUUAUUGAUAUGUGUAUUAUGUGAUGUAUACUUGUUUGAACGACUGAUCCGAUAUAUUAAUAAUUAUUAUUUUUAGAUAUAUUAGUUUAUCUUUUAAAUUCGAAACAUAGUUAAUUUGUAUCAAUUAUUGUAUACAGAAUUAAAUUACAAAACUAUGCAAGUGAUAAUAUUUUUAUAUUUUGAAAUUAUUUAUAUUUAAAUAUUGUAAAAGAAUUAUUUUAAUUAUUUACAUUAAAUAUAAUAUCCAAGUAUUUAUUUUUGAAAUGGAUUAAUUAUUUUUUAAAAAUUAUUUGACAUUUAAAAAUGAUUUUUUUAAAAUAAUUUCAAUAAUUUAUUUUAAAAAUAUUAUCGGAUAGCUUAUUAUUUCCUUUAUAUAUGCAACAAAAACAACCAGUAUACCCAUAAACACAGAGUAUUACUAUCGGUGGAAGCUAGGGUUUGACACAGGUCUCCGCCGAGAGUAUUGACGGAGAAAAUCGAAAGUAAUUCCUUCGAUUCUUGUGUUUAACGCUCAAAUUUCUAUAUUCUAUUUAUGUUUUGUCGUGUAUCUGAGUUGGGGAUUGAAGUUUCGAAGGGUUUGAGGUGGUUGUGUACGAUAUUAGCGGGUUAGGGCUCGCCGGAGUCGUGUGGCGGCGUUGGUGGAUAACUAGGUUAGGCGAUUGAGGGGUUCGAGGGGGGGCUGCUACGGCGGUGACGCCGCCGUGACUGUCCGGAGAGGAACGGCGUAGGGAGAUGGUUGGGUGUGGUGCGGGCGGCGAUGCGGUUGAAACGAGGAGGGGCUGCUGUGGGGUGAGUAUUUUGUGUGUGUUUGUAAAUGGAGAUUUACAGUGUUGUGGGUAGGGUUUCGAUGGCGGUUACAGGNUCCCGCUUUUCUGAGGAAGGAUGAUUAAUUUAUUAUUGCGAAUUAUAUUUGAGUUAUGAUUCAAUAAGUGUUAUAUGCUCUGUGAUUUAAUUGUGGUAAUUGUUUUAGAAUUACAUCUAGAAGUUAUUAUCGAGUCAUUGACAAAUUGCUCCGGUUUGAAUGAUUGAUUGUGUUGGGAAUAAUACAUUAAUUGGAGUUGGAUUAUCCUUGAGAUUUGGAGCAUGAUUAUUUAUAGAAACAGUAUUGAUUCAUUUGCAUUUUAUUUUGUGUGAUUUUGUUCGAUUACUAUUCGAUUUUUUUAUAUGAAUGUGAUAUUAGUUCGAAACUGUGUUGAUUAUGUGUUAAUUAGGGUUCCAAUUAGGGAUAAAUUAGUUUAGGUUUCCAAUUAGGGAUUAAUUAUUAUUGCCAUUGAUGAAUAUUGUAAACUUCCGAGGAACAUGUUUGUCGUUUGUAUUAUGGAAUUGAAUCUCUUUUUUGUGGACUUAUGUAUUUUGGCGUAUCACAGGUAUUUACCAUGGUUUCUACCAGAUCAAUGUCCGGAACAACUAAGAAACCAGAUACUAAGUAAGCUUUUUUCUAAUUUUAUUUUGUUAUCAAGACUUUACUGGACUUUAUUGACCUCAAUUAUAUUUAUUUUGCACAAGAAUGACUCAUUUUAUAUACCAAGUAAGAUGAUUGCAUUCCGUCAAAUUUAAUUAACAUAUAAAUACACAGACCAACCUUAUUACUUUAGCGCUGUUACACACAUAAAUGCACACAUUAGCCUUAUUACUUUAGUUUAUGGUUGGGUUUAUUAUAUUGUUUGAUCGGAGAUUAUGUUGAUGAAUCAACCUAGUUUUUUGUUGACAUUCAAGACAAGCUGUUAGGCCCGAUAUAUUAAUACGAAUCUUAUAUUUUGGCUUUUAUCUAGCUUGUGCUAAAAUGAUGAAUUUCUUAAGAUAGUUCAUAUUCUUGCAUGUAUUGCGGAGAUGGAUUCUGAGGAAGAUAUGUAUAUAGUUCGUUACUUGAUUUAUUGUGAUAGUAGUAAGCUUGAUAGGGGAAAGGGAGUGUUUGAAAAAAUAUAUGGGAAAGAUGUUGGGUCUUGAACUAGCUUAAAUUUGUGGAUAUUUGGUUGUGAUUGUACUGAGAAGGCUAUUUUUUUUCAUGACCUGGUGAAUAAGGGUGUGAUCUUACAGAUUUUGUACGAAAUAAUAAUACUCAGUUGACAAUGAAAAUUGUCCAGAGAUACCAUUUUACCUAUAUUAGUACAACAGAGUUCAUUUGAGCAAGUGAUUGAGCAUUUUCGUAUAAGGUAGGGUGAUGCAAUUAAACCAAGAUAAGUGAUAAUGAUUAGCAAGAAGCAUGGAGCGAUGUCCGUGAGACGACAUUGAGACCCAUCAAUGAUCGUGAUUGGGUGAUGAACAGCGGGAUGCUGAGUGUGACAAUUUUGUGUAUAAUAGAAGUAAAAUAAAGUGAAAAAAUAAGAGACAAAUAUACCUCCAAUCAUUUGACGUCGGUUAAUAAAAUUUGAAGGAAUGCAGUUGUAUGCUUAAAAAAUAUUAUUUUGGUAUAUUAAUUGUUCACUUCUAUUCAAGAUUGAGGCCAUUAAAGUGCAAUUAAGUCUAUUAUAAAAUUGAUUUAAAUUUGAUUCCUUGGCUAAGAAUUGUUUAUUUAUUUAUUUGAUUAGGGUUGCUGUGAAUGACAAACAGGAAGCCUCCACGACAGCAAGGAACAAAGCAAAGUUCAGAAAUACUAAAAAAAUUGCCAAGUCUGGGGCAACUAAAAAAGUGGCUCAUGAGUAAGUUUUACUAUUUUCUUUAAUUGAUAUAUUGAUCUGAAUCUGGUUUCAAAUCUAACAAAUUUAAAAUUCCACACUUUUGGUUAUUGCCCGUAAGGAUUAUAUUCGUAAGUCUCUGGACAUUAUUAGAAGAUUGCUCUUUUUCUUGUUCUCUCUCCCUCGUCUCUUGCUUCUUCUUCUUUUUAAUAGAAAAGUUAAUGAGUCUUGAAUAUAAAUGCUUGAGAGGUAUAUACAAAAGGCUUUGUGAUGCACAUAAGAAAAUAUGUGCUUGUCUGAAUUGAAGAGAAAGAGAACUGUACUUGUUGUUUUGAGUACAUAUGCUUCCAAAUGAGUACAAUCAUGAGUAAAGUACCGUUGUAGCAUACAUUUCCGGAAAACAAUUGGUAACUUUUAAAUUUCCUGUCAUUAGAACAAAAUAUAUAAUUACAGUAACCAUACAGUAGGCCUUAGGCUGUAAUCAUGGGAAAAGAAAGCCUUAGGGUGUGCGAAGGCCUUAGGCCGUAUCCAUAGGGAAGGCCCUAAGUGGUGCCGAUAGACUUAGGCUGUCGCCAUACUGAUGUAUGUAAGUUAGGCCAUAACAAUGAAACCGAUGACUAAGAUCAGUUUAAAAUUGUUCAUUAUUUAAGGUGUGAUAGUGUAUUUUAGGAUCUAUCAAUUAUAUAUUAUUACAUUAAUAUUAUAUUGUACUGCAUAAAUAUUAUAUUGUACAUUUUAUUUUCUUUAACAAACAAAUUCAUGUAUGCAUAUGUCUGUAUGUAUGUCUGUGUGUGUGUGUGUAUAAUUUUGAGAUGCUGUGAAACAUAAAGUUGUUGAAAGACUAAUAUCUUUUUGUCAUGAUUUAGGGGAUGCACAACAGCGCCCUGGUCAAUGAUUACCGAUGCUUACUGCUUUUUCAUGUAACUUCCUACUUCAUUCUUUUUUCCUUUUCUGUCUAUGCAUUGUAUAUCUUGCUGUGAUUUUGUUUUUUGAUUACAGGAAGGACUCGAAGGCAAAAUAUUAUGAGAAGAAUGCAAAAUAUUAUGAGAAGCAUCCACGAGGCCGAAUAGUAAGAUCUCCAUUUUUCUAGUUAGCUUUUAAGUAUUCCUUUCUCAAUCAGUAUAAAUUCACUUUUUCGUGCUUUUUUCAUCAUAGAUGCCAGAGGAGCUCCGAGAUGUUAUCAUGCAGAAAUGGAGGGAUAUGAGUGAUGCGGAAAGUAAUUUUGCUGAAAAGUAAUAUCGAUGUAAUAUCAAAAUGAUGGGACAUGAGAUCUCAAAUUUCUCCUCCUAUUUCACUUUUUGCAGGACAAAGCUCCGUAUGUUGAAUGUGCUGAGGAAUUGAAGGCUCAAGGACUUACCUAUCUGUAAGUUUUCUCUUGUUUCUUGCAUUUAGUAGUGGUAUUGGCAUAUAUGCUCCAUCCAAUGCAACAAAGGAUGAGCCUCUGAUAUGCAACUUAGUUUUCAGUCACUGUCCUAUGAAGAUCUGCGUAUGCUCACAAACAAUUUAGAUAGUACCCAAAAAAAUCAAUGGCUAGUAUUAUAAUCAGAUCAGUCAUGUAAUUUCUUGGUUUUAGUUUGUGCCACUUAGAAGCAUGAUUCUGUUUGAUUUCUUAAUUUCAAGUGCCCCACUCAAAAGCCAAUUUUUGCUGGUCAUUGUAUCAAUUCUCAGAGACAUUGUUUACAAAUAGGUAAUGUCUUGUGUGGUUUUGUUUUAUCUUCUUGGAUCAUGUUUCUAAUGUGGUAGCUGGUUUGGUUUUCUCUUCUUUAUCUAUAGGCAAGUCAACUGCGAUAGUUUGUUUAAUAGUAAUUCUCUACUUAUUCUCUAUUAGAUCCGAUGAGAAAAAGAUACUGAUUGUUUUGUGGGGAUAUCAGUUUUAUGAGUAGAUAUAUGGGUUGAUGGCUGUAAUUUUAGGCACAAAAAUAGUGUAUAUCUUUUGUAGUUUCCUGUCCGUGCAGAUUUAUGUAUUUACUCGCUCUACCAACUUUAAAUUUCUGUGUCAGAAGUCAAAGGAAAUAUUUUCUUAGUUCUUUUUUUUGGUAGCUUAAUGAAUUUAAUCAUUGUUAUUAAGUUGUAAUAGUGUUCUUUAGCCAGCUUAUUAUCAUUGUUAAUAAUAUUAUUUUGGUUCAUUAAUUGUUCACUUCUAUUCAAAAUUGAGGUCAUUAAAGUGCAAUCAAGUCUAUAAUAAAAUUAAUUUAAAUCUGGUUCCUUGGCUAAGAAUUGUUUAUUUAUUUAUUUGAUUAGGACUGCUGUGGAUGACGAACAGGAAGUCUGUUACAAAGCAAAGUUCGGAACAACUAAAAAAAUUGCCAAGUCCGGAAAAACUAAAGAAGUGGCUGAUAAGUAAGUUUUACUAAGUUUUUUUUAAAUUGAUAUAUUGAUCUGAAUCUGGUUUCAAAUCUAACAAAUAUAAAUAUAUACAUAAAUAUUGACUGUUCCACAUUAUUGGUUAUUGUCCGUAUGGAUUAUAAUCAUCAGUCUCUGGACAUUAUUAGAAGAUUGCUCUUUUCCUUAUCCUCUCUCCCUCCUCUCUCGCUUUUUUUUUUUAUAGAAAAGUCGAGUCAUGAAUGUAAAUUCUUGAGGGAGAUAUACAAAAGGCUUUGUGAUGAACAAAAGAAAAUAUGUGCUUGUCUGAAAUGAAGAGAACUCAAAAGAACUGUACUUGUUUUGAGUAAUUCCAAAAUGUACAACAUGAGUAAAGUACUGUUGUAGCAUACAUUUCCGGAAAACAUUUGGUAACUUUUAAAUUUCCUGUCAUUAGAACAACAAAAUAUAUAAUUACAGUUGCCAUACAGUAGGCGUUAGGCCGUAACCAUGGGGAAAGAAAGCCUUCGGAUGUGCUGAAGGCCUUAGGCCGUAUCCAUAGGGAAGGCCUUAAGUGGUGCCGAUAGACUUAGGCCGUAGCCAUACUGCCAAUUCUAAGUUAGGACUAUAAAAAUGAAACUGAUGACUACGAUCAGUUUAAAAUUGUUCAUUAUUUAAGGUGUGCUAGUGUAUUUUAGGAUCUAUCAAUUCUAUAUUAUUACAUUAAUAUUUUAUCGUACUGCAUAAAUAUUAUAUUGUACAUUGUAUUUUCUUUAACAAACAAAAUCAUGUAUGCAUAUGUAUGUGUGUGUGUGUGUGUGUCUAUAUAUAUAUAUAAUUUUGAAAUGCUGUGAAACACCAAGUUGUUGGAAGAGUAAUAUCUAUUUAUCAUGAUUUAGGGGAUGCACAACAGCUGUUUGGUCAGUGAAUGACGACGCUUAUUGCCUUUUCUUGUAACUUCUUACUUCAUUCUUUUUUUUCCUUUUCAGUCUAUGCAUUGUAUAUUUUGCUGUAUUUUUGUUUUUUGAUUAUAGGAAGGACUCUAAGGCAAAAUAUUAUGAGAAGCAUUCACGACGCCAGAUAGUAAGAUCUCCAUUUUUCUAGUCAGCUUUUAAGUAUUCCUUUCUAAACCAGUAUUAAUGUAUUUUCUUGUGCUUUUUUCAUCAUAGAUGCCAGAGGAUCUCCGAGAAGCUAUCAUGGAGGAAUGGAUGGGUAUGAGUGAUGCGGUAAGUAAUUUUGCUGAAAAAUAAUAUCGAUAUGCUGGGACACGAGAUCUCAAAUUUCUCCUAUUUCAAUUUUUGCAGGACAAAGCUCCAUAUGUUGAAAGUGCUGAGAAAUUGAGGGCUCAAGGACUUACCUAUCUGUAAGUUUUUCUCUUGUUUCUUGCAUUUAGUAGUGGUACUGGCAUUUAUGCUCCAUCCAAUGUAACAAAGGAUGAGCCUCUGAUAUGCAACUUAGUUUUCAGUCACUGUCCUAUGUUUGAAUCUGCAUAUCCUCAGAAACAAUUUAGAGAGUACCCAAAAAAGUCAUUGGCUACUAUUAUAAUCAGAUCAGUCAUGUAAUUUCUUGGUUUUAGUUUGUGCCACUUAGAAGCAUGUUUCUGUUUAAUUUCUUAAUUUCAAGUGCCCCACUCGAAAGCCAAUUUUCGCUGAUCAUUGUAUCAAUUCUCAGAGACAUUGUUUACAAAUAGGUAAUGUCUUGUGUGGUUUUGUUUUAUCUUCUUGGAUCAUGUUUCUAAUGUGGUAACUGGUUUGGUUUUCUCUUCUUUAUCUGUAGGCAAGUCAACUGCGAUAGCUUGUUUAAUAGUAAUUCUGUACUUAUUCUCUAUAUCUGAUGAGAAAAAGAUACUGAUUGUUUUGUGGGGAUAUCAUUUUUAUGAGUAGAUAUAUGGGUUAAUGGCUGUAAUUUUAGGCACAAAAAUAGUGUAAAUCUUUUCUAGUUUCUUGUCAGUGCAGAUUUAUGUAUUUAUCUGCUCUACCAACUAUAAAAUUCUGUGUCAGAAGUCAAAGGGAUUAUUUUCUUAGUCCCUUUCUUUUGUGGUUGCUUUUAUGAAGUUGAUCAUUGUUAUUAAGUCAUACUUAAGAGUGUUCUUUAGCCAGCUUAUUAUAAUUGUUUAUAAUAUGCAUGUAAUGCUUGUGAGCUGUGGCAGACUACAGUGAUUCAUGGAAUGAGUUGAUACACUUUUUAGUCAAUAUGACUUGCCAAAACAGUGGCAUUCUUUAUAUCAAACAUCUAGUUCGUUAUUUAUGAUUGUUUUAUACAUUGGUGUUUUGACCGCUACUGGUUUAAGCUUUAAUAGCAUCUAAUUUUAUCAUCUUCUGUGCAGGGAUUGAGAAGACUUGUGUGGGAUAGAAGACUUUUGUACAAAGACUGAUAAAUUGAUGUGUUUUAUUUGUACUCAUCUUGGAUAAAAUUUCAAGAACACAUGUAGUUUGAUGAAUUUUCAAGUAUGUGCCUUUUGGGAUGAAAUAUCUACUUUUAUGGAUGUUGCAAUGUUAAGCAUCACAACUGACGGAUGAACUUCAAAAUGAUGCACAAUAUUCACUAGUUACCAAAGAACUAAUGUCUUGUCAAAAAAGUGAAGGACAAAAAAAAAAUGUACUCUAUUGAAAGGAGGCUUGUAAUUUAGUUGAGGAAUAACAAGAGAAAUGCCGCGUCGAAAAAAUAUCAAACAAUUUCCAAAUCAGAGAGGAAUAAUAAAAAGAAAUAUUGCAGAUUCUAAAACGAUAUUCUGAAAAUUUUCUAAAAAGUAAUGGGUCGACUCGUGACGGUUGACUAAUACAUUUCCUUCUUGGUUAAAUAAACUCUUUUAUCUAUGCCAUGGUUGUCGGUAUGCAUGCUUAUUUCACUAAAUAAAUAUUUUAAAAGUUAUUUCAGUACUCGGUUUGUUUAUAAGUAAAAAGGUUGUUAAGUAAAUAAAAAUAAAGAGGAAUUUGGCAGAAAAAAGAGCAUGCACUCUACCGCAGGAUUUAGAUUGGAUUUUAAAAUAUUUUAAAAUUUAUAGUUUCAGGUGCAUAUAUUUUUUAGUUUUUAAUAAUAUAUUAAAAUAUGAGAAUAUCUGAUCAUUUUUUUUAAAGAUUCUUGAGAUAUUAUCUAAAAUUAUACUUUAAAAUAUAAUGAAUCAUUACAUUUUAAUAAAGACGCAAAUCGUAAUUAAAACACUUGACAAUUAUUAUGAUUCCACCCUCAAAUUUGACCCCAUUUUUUUGAGGUUUUGAAAUCUACUUUAUCUGGAAUCACCUUGCUGUUUUUGAAAUCCUUUAUCUGCUUUGCACUCCAUCUUAUUAUCUGGAACUACAAACAAACGCCAAUAUAUUUUGUGCAGCUGCCACGGAGAAACGCAACAUCUUAUAUUCAAAUAAUUUAGUAUUCUAUUGAUACUGAACUUAUUUACAGAUAAAGGGGCCGUUUGGGUGAGUUUAAAAUAAGAGCUUCUGGCUUAAAAUAAAAAAGUGAAGUAGAAGUUAGAAGUUAAUUAAGACUUAUAAGUGAUUAAAAUGUUUGGGAAAAAAGUAGAAGUCAUGAAACAAAAGCUAGGAAUCGUAGCUUUUUAUAAGUGAUUCUCGACUUUUUACACAAACAGUACGAUAAGUGCUUCUAACUUAAAAGUCCAGAAGCGGGGCUUAAAAGCCCCGCCAAACACCCACUUCACCAGUUCUCUGUUCUAACACUCAAAUACAAUACAAUCUAUAUAAAUGAAUAAAUUCUCAAAUAUUAAUUUAUUGAGGCCUAACUGUAUGAUCCGGUAAAUUUACCAAGGUAAUCGAAAAAGAAGAAAGACUACAUCUAUAAUAAGGAGAAAGAAAAACCUACAUUCGAAAAAACAUUAAAAAAAACUCGUGUAAUAAUUGACAAAUUAAUUACUUGCAGUCUUGAACUAGAACACGAUGUUAUUUACACUUGUCUGGCAAGGGAAAAACAAGAAAGAAUUGUAAACAUAAUCACAAGAGCAUAAUUUCGUAACUGAAUAAGGUAUAUAAGUAUGUAGCAACAAAAUUGUAACCUGCAAGUACUCAAAACCCAAAAAAUAUGAAUUUUAAAUUAUCUCCGUGCUUCAAGUUGUUGAAUUUCAAUAAGAUCUUCAACUGUGAUACCAAUCCGAUAUUGCUGGCAAAUACCUUUUUUUUGUUUUGGAUCUUCCAAAUCAUUUUAGCAUCAGUUUCAUUCCCUAAAAUGGCAAAAAAGUAUUAAAUCAGGGUAAAUGAGAAAACAAGCGGUAAUCACAAAAUAGUUUAAAGUGAUUUGAGCAUGAAUCGUACGUAUGUGGUGGUUUAAACAUAAAUAGUUUAUAUUUUAUAUAUUUGCUAUCGAUUAAUCUAGUUAAGAAUGGAUCGUAUACCUCAUACAUACUUGUUCUUGAUCAAACUGAUUUAAAGUCAGAAUUUAUCUUAUUUAUGUCUAUUUUAAAGAUGUACAUAAGGACUUAUUUUAAUAUGAAUAAUAUAUACUUUCCUCUGUUCUAGUAUAUUAUUAUGUUUAUUUUGUGAUGUUAAUACAUGUAACAAGGAAUUUCCCAUUAAACUAUUUUAGGGGGAUGAAUUUAUAGAGAAUUCUAAGAAAUAUGUAAGGGUUCAGCUAAUUAUGUAGAAUGGUGCGAUAUCGAUAAGGUUAGUCUGUUGGAAAUAAAUUAUGUUAAUGCAAUUAGGUUCCGGGAGCAAACUUUCUAAAACCACAAUAAAGAGCGGGUUGUUUGAGUUCCUCAACCCAACUUGUACAGAAGAGUUGAUGAUUUACUGUAAGAGAUUGAUGAAAAAUCGAUUUUUUAGACUUUUUGGUACAUAUGAUGAUUAGCAUGGACGAUAGGUACGUGUAUAUACGCACAUAUGCAACAAAAUAACCAUUGACUUGUAUUUUGAACAAUUAUACCUUCAAAAAUUAAACAAUGUUAAUUAGAAUCAACAGGAUGCAUUAAGUGUUAAGUGUCCAGGACGAAUGGACAUGCACAUUCACAUGUCUUAUCUUACGAUGAAUGGUUUCAAAACAUUGGCCUCCACCUAUCUGGAAAUCAAUCACCAGCACUGGAGUUUCAGGGGGAUAGAAGAGCUAUUAGGAAGCGUUGAAGCAACGCCUGCUGAAGUUGCUGAGGAACUGAUGAGGACAUGUGAUGCUGAUGCUUGUCUUGGAGGACUUGUCAAUUUCCUCAAGGAUAAGAAGAGGAAAAUGACUAUUGUUGAAUCCGGGGAGGAUGUGAGUCCUGGAGCUGAAACCACGGAUGGGGAUGACACUACUCCUGGAGUUGAACUCAUCCCAAAAGCCAAGAAAACUAAAACUAAUGGCUUGCAGGAUGUUUUUUUGUCUCAAUUGAGGGGCUAUAAUGGUCGCAGAGAUUAAAUCUUCUGAUUUUGUUUGUUGCGUAAUUUCUAUGUAAUGUUUUGAAUAAUUUUA
rnacentral:lncRNA from 1 species